rnacentral:misc_RNA from 1 species
AAACAAAAAUACUGUUUAGAAGAGACUAAUAGAGCGCUUGAAAAAAAGAAGAAAACUUGACAUUAACCAACAUAUAGAAAAGAGAAUCUCAUUUCUUAUAAAUGAUGAAUGUAAAAAAGAGAGAGAAAGCACCUUAUUGUCCCAUAGAAGGGACUGACCACAAAGCAUGGCGCGCGACGUCUGGCUCUAGCGAGUCGAGAGCGAGUUCCAGCUUCAGUGUGUGGUAACUCGUGGUAGGGGAAGGGUGUGCCACGUUGGCUCUCGUGUCUGCAUAUUGCAUGCGCCUUGCACUGUGGAUACAUCCUUUUGAUACGAAGUAAUACGAAAAAAACUAUUUCCGAUAUUGCAAUCGUUUCUCUAGGGUAGAGAAAUACGACUGAUUCUGCAAAGUGAACGGAAAUGCAUUUACAAAUACGUGAUAAUGCAGAACGAAAAUGAACACCUGUUUCCGCGCACCUAGACAGAACGAGACACAACAGGUUUUCAAACACGCAGAGAAAACAAAAGAACAUCAUUACCAGCAACAGCGAACGCGAAGCAUCACAGUAAUGGAAGAAUCAUACAGAGACACCAUAAGCAGCGAUCACCGGGACUACCUAUAGUGCGGGCAGCCAAGAGUAUGAACGAAGGAGCGUGGAGAUGUUGAGCGACCAGCAGGAGAGACACCGGGGGCGGCCAUGGUGACGAUCUAAGGAAGCCAGCAGGGAUGCCCCUGGGGUUCUUCGAGAAGCAUCUUCACCGACGCUCCGUCGGUGGCCAUGACGCCCCCGCUUCCCGCCAGCUGGACUCCACGCCCUCCAAUUCUAGGAAAGGAUCACGGGCGUGGGUGGAGGACUGCUGCGGCGGCGAGAACGACCUGUACGACGACCCCCCACCCAUACCCUCCCGGUUCAACCAUGCCACGCACAAGCUCAGCGACCUGCACCCUCAGCUCGACCUACCGGGCACUCGAAAGACCCGACCUUCCCUCACAGGCAGCGAGGACCUGCAAGAGCUUCUGCAGAGGAAUUCGAAGUCGAUGGGCGGAGUGUUGGUGUUACUCCUAGCGAUCGUAGUGUUGACAUGGACGCUGGGGGCUUGCGGGGCAUCGUGGGCGUGGCUACUUGUUUCAGUUGGCAUCACGUGGGCGGUUGUGAGAGGCAGCUUAGAAAGAGUAGCUGAGGAUGCUAGCAGAUACGUGUCUCUGCGCCUGCACCGCCGCCGCGCCCUGCAGGCUGACGAGACGUGCGAGUGGCUCAACAUCCUUCUCAAUCGGUGGUGGGUGUUCUCCUCGUCCUCCAUCUUCGCUAAAGCCAAGGCUGCCUUAGAUCCCAGGCUCCUUGAGGCCAAACCUGCUUUCCUGGAGACCAUCAGCUUGAAGCAGCUGUCGCUUGGGGACCGCACGCCCGUCAUCCGCAGCGUCCGCGCCUGGGAUGUCAGCACGCCGGGGGUGGAAGGGGCCCCCCGCCGCCCUCUGUGUCCUUCGCGCCCUCCUGCAGGACUCGACCACGCCCCCACGCACACGGUCGCUCUGCUGUGUGACCUCGCCCUCGACUCUGACUCCUUCUCUGCUGUGCUGGCGGCGAGGAUCGGGGGGAAAGGCAUGGGCGUGGACCUGGACGUGGCCGUGGAGAAGCUGGCCGUGUUGGGGCGCGUGAUGGUCACGGCGACCUUGGACAUGGAAGCGCCCUUCCCGCACCUCACUCGCAUCUCCCUGUCCUUCACCGAGAAGCCCCAAGUGUGGUUCAGCGUCCGUAUCCUCAAGGCUGUGCAAAUGAUGGAGGUACCGGUCCUGAAGACGUGGCUGCAUUCGCUGGUGAUGGACGCCCUCGCCUCGGCCUGGGUCGACCCAGGUCAGCUGGAGAUCAACAUCCACUCAAGCGAAGCCUUUGUACCCGAGCAGCGGACAGGGGACGCCCUUGCACAGGGUGUUCUCACCGUUAUAUUAUGGACGCAGAAGGGGUCGUCAGGCCUAGCCGUGGACGAGGACAAGUGGGUGGUGGUGCUCAUUGGCGGCCAGCAGCACGUGACGCCCCCGCUCAACACACCCCGGUGGCAGGAGGCGUGCAGCUUUCUGGUGGAUUCCUCCCUCAACAACCACAACCUCGUGCUCAAGGUCAAGAGUAAACGGCUUAUUACAACAACCAUAACGCAGUUCGACCUUCCGCUUAGUCAGUACAGCUUGGACACAAGUAGAGUCGUAGAGACGGUGCUCCACAAGAAGGGCGUCAAGGUAAUGGGGGGGAGUGUGCCCCCUCUCCACCUGCGUCUGCAAUACACCCCCCUCACUGCUGUCAACUUGGACGUGCCCCUUCCGCCUGCCCUCGUCGAGAACCAGGAAGGUGCCGGUGUAUUAUACAUUCUGGUCCACGGGGCUGACAACAUCACAACCUCAGACUACCUUCCAUCAUGUUAUUGCCUCAUCUUCAGUAACAGAAAGAAGGUGAAGACGACCCACUACGUGUGCGAAUGCGGGUCGCCAAGGUGGGAGUGUGGCGUGGAGGUGCUGGUCAGGGAGGUCUCCACCGUCACCCUCUCCUUCGCCGUCUGUUCGAUGCCCAGAGGGAGCCAGGACACCGAGCUCCUUGGCCUGACCUCGUUCUCUCUCGCCACGAUGGAACUGCCCAUAGUACGCCGUCAGUUGCCCCUGAGCAGGAGUCUCCCGACGCCAGGCUGUGCCGUUUCGUCUGGUCCUUCGCCAGGGACAGUGACCGUAUCCGUGGUGUUCCGAGCCGUGGCUUCCGUGGCAGGAUGCAAUAUGUCUUCCGGGGAGAUGCUGUCGGACAAGUAUCCCCCGCAGACGUCCAGAUCUCCGGUGCCUCCUUGCACCUCCUUGUCCGCGCCGCCCCAGAGACGCUCCUCUUUACCCACGGCCGACGACGAGGACCUGGCCACGAAGAAGAGGAACAACACCCACUGGAUCAGCCAUGCUCGUCAAGAACCAACGAAUCAAAUCCUAAACACCUGUGACGGGCGCGUGCCAGUACCCGGACACCGACCCCAACCCCUCAUACUGGAAUCUGGUUCAUUGCAGAAACAGUUCCUAGCAACAGGGCGGGAUGGAGACGGGGGCACGCAGGACAUCGGGGACAUCCUAGCCUCGGGUCUCGGCCUCAUGGAACUCACAAUCAUCAGAGCUCGAGACUUGGUGGCUAAAGACCUAAAUGGCUACAGUGACCCGUACUGCGUCGUGAAAAUCAACAGUGAGGUAAAGUACCGCACUCGAGUCAAGAAGAAGACCCUCAACCCAGAGUGGGAGGAAACCUUGAUGACGCACCUUCCAAGACACCCAGACAUCCUUGCUAUAACCUUAUGGGAUCAUGAUGCCUUUGGAAGGGAUUUCCUUGGUUCCGUCGCUUUAAAGGAGGCAGACGUCCGAGACCUGUCCCAUAAAGAUGCGCCGAAGUGGUGUACGCUCGAGGGUACCAAGUCAGGUCAAAUAGAGAUCAAAGUCAAGGUCAUUUCGGAUGAUUAUGAGCACCAAAUUAUACCAUCAACGACAGACAUGAGUUUAACUUCAAGCACAGCAGCGGCAGAUGACAUGGAGAGAACUGAUGAAAUGAGCAGAUCAAACAGUGUCAAAGAUGAAGUUGCUGGUGCUUCAUCAGGAGAAGAUUCAGGAGUGCUUUUGCACCAAGUAUCGCCGACACAUGAGACUGAGAAACCAAGAUUGCCCCGAAUGGGCUCUCAAAGUGUGUCAUAUGUAGCGGGGGAUCAUCCUCUUCUGUCAAAUGGCAGAAGAGCAAGUGAGUCAGCUGUUCUGAUCCCCCCAGCUCACACCAGGGAUGACCAAGACGGCAGCUUCAGUGGCUCUGUCACUCCAUCUACUUCCAGCCCAGUCCGCACAAUGUCAAAAUCGAGGAGAACUGGGGCUAACAUAAUUGCUAGUGCCUUAGCAAUGACACGCAGCCAUACCAGACCGGAGACGCCGAAUGGGGAUUCAUCUUCCUCAUCCCACUGUCAAGGAGACAGUCCUGUUACAACUGACGACCAAAGCUCAGGAACGAACAGUCUUACGCCAACUUCCAAGUCACAUGGAAAACCACUUCCCAAGAUUAGUUUAACAGAGCAUAGUGAAGAUGACUAUGGUGGCAGUAGCCCAGAACACCAUGUUAAAAGCAAGAAAUCAUCAGAUAGUGGUCUGAGGGCCAUGCGGGAGAAGCUACGUCGUCUACGAAAGUAGGGGUAACGAACAGUCUGUCACAGCGGCCAGGUGUAUUUCUCAACGUACGGGGUAUGGCAGGGCAAGUACAGGGCCUCCACAUACCUCGCUCUGGGUUGCAACUUUUCCUGCGUGUCCGUGUGAGUGAAGAGAAAACCACCAAUAGCAGCAGCAGCAGUAGUAACAAAAUUACCAAGACUGUAGGUCGGUCUCGUCUGGUGCCUGCCUCACCCUCGCCUACUUUUGAUUGUGAAUGGAUUAUAGAAGGUGAAGCUACCAGAAG